GUACAACCUAGAUCUAUAAGUUGAAUCUACUUGUGGCCGAGACAGGAAGUCAAAAAGUGAUAUUCAACACAGCCAUGAAGUUUCAUCUGUGUUUCUUGGUUUUGAUGGUGGUCUUGUACGUCGAGUGUAACGUGAUCGACAAAAAAGUGCGGCAUGAGAACAAAUGUGUGGUACUGAUACCGAGCAGUCUCUCUGGUAAAUCGUUAAAAGCAUAUACGCGGUGUGAUCCCUUCGGAAAAUGUCCACGCAGUACAAAGGAUUGCAGUAAUUUAUGCCAAUCGUCGGAUGAGAAGUGUUGCUGCUUGGUUACUUAGUGUUUCAGUAUCCCCACCUCUGAUUGACUGGGAAGAAGAAAUAAAAACCUAAAGAAACUAAAACUAAUCAAAUGAGAGCCAUAGUUAUCACGUCAAAUUAUAAUCGAUAAUAAAAAUAUGGGAAAUAUUAUUAAAUCAAAAGAAUAAACUCCAACGA